GACGAACGCUGGCGGCGUGCUUAACACAUGCAAGUCGAACGGAAAGGCCCUGCUUUUGUGGGGUGCUCGAGUGGCGAACGGGUGAGUAACACGUGAGUAACCUGCCCUUGACUUUGGGAUAACUUCAGGAAACUGGGGCUAAUACCGGAUAGGAGCUCCUGCUGCAUGGUGGGGGUUGGAAAGUUUCGGCGGUUGGGGAUGGACUCGCGGCUUAUCAGCUUGUUGGUGGGGUAGUGGCUUACCAAGGCUUUGACGGGUAGCCGGCCUGAGAGGGUGACCGGCCACAUUGGGACUGAGAUACGGCCCAGACUCCUACGGGGGGCAGCAGUGGGGAAUAUUGCACAAUGGGCAGAAGCCUGAUGCAGCACCGCCGCGUGCGGGAUGACGGCCUUCGGGUUGUAAACCGCUUUCGCCUGUGACGAAGCGUGAGUGACGGUAAUGGGUAAAGAAGCACCGGCUAACUACGUG
rnacentral:rRNA from 1 species